rnacentral:rRNA from 1 species
UACGAAGGGGGCUAGCGUUGCUCGGAAUUACUGGGCGUAAAGGGCGCGCAGGCGGCUCUGAAAGUCAGAUGUGAAAGCCCCGGGCUUAACCUGGGAACUGCAUUUGAUACUCUGGAGCUUGAGUACGGGAGAGGAUAGUGGAAUUCCAGUGUAGAGGUGAAAUUCGUAGAUAUUGGGAAGAACACCGGUGGCGAAGGCGGGCU